rnacentral:rRNA from 1 species
ACUCAAAUGAAUUGACGGGGGCCCGCACAAGCGGCGGAGCAUGUGGCUUAAUUCGAUGCGACGCGAAGAACCUUACCAAGGCUUGACAUGAAUGGAAAUCUCACAGAGAUGUGAGGUCCGCAAGGGUCAUUCACAGGUGGUGCAUGGUUGUCGUCAGCUCGUGUCGUGAGAUGUUGGGUUAAGUCCCGCAACGAGCGCAACCCUCGUCCUAUGUUGCCAGCGGGUUAUGCCGGGGACUCAUAGGAGACUGCCGGGGUCAACUCGGAGGAAGGUGGGGAUGACGUCAAAUCAUCAUGCCCCUUAUGUCUUGGGCUGCACACAUGCUACAAUGGCCGGUACAAAGGGCUGCGAUACCGCAAGGUGGAGCGAAUCCCAAAAAGCCGGUCUCAGUUCGGAUUGGGGUCUGCAACUCGACCCCAUGAAGUCGGAGUCGCUAGUAAUCGCAGAUCAGCAACGCUGCGGUGAAUACGUUCCCGGGCCUUGUACACACCGCCCGU